rnacentral:lncRNA from 1 species
CUUAACCUAAAACCCUACCACUAACCUAGACCUAUAUAUAUUAAACAAAGCCUAAAAUUAAAGGGGGGAUCAACACAAAUAGAGAGGGAGGAGAACGACAAAAAGCAACAGAAAAAGCUGCGCAUAGAGAAAAAAAGAAAGCUAAGAAAAGCUGCGCACAGAAUGACCCACCCUCUGACUUCGUCUUCUCCAAACGACCCUCCCUGAAGCUUCUGCUUCUUUGAACUCACCUUCACGCAAGCCUUAACCAGCCAUACUCUAUCGUCUCCAUUACCUCACACAUCACCCGGAACACAAACGCACACACAACGCCCCAGUGACAACGACCACACCAGCCGUCCCACCACCAUAAUCGUCGGUAAAUCCCCAUUGAUGGCGAGCUUCUUAAAAGCUUCACUGUUAUACUCAAAAUGAGCAGAUCUAGAGCAACAAAACACACACACUUCUCCUCUGCUGAUUUUCUUUCUCUUUGAUUUCGAUUCGAUUUUUGGUUUCAAAUUCAUGGAAUUCAUUUGUGUUUGAAAGUUGUUUUGCAUUCUGGUUGGUUCAAGGUCUUGGGUCGUCAUUGUUCGUCGAGGUUCGGAAUGGUGGUUCGCAGCUUCGGAUGAUUUUGAUCGCUGUUUUGGAUUCGAUUGGGGCUUUGGUUUAUUGACACCCUUGUAACUGUUGGAAUUCUCAUUAAUCAAAGGCAAAAUUUCAAUUCGUGGCAGUUUCGGUUCAAAUCGGGCCUUUACCUGGGUCAAAAAUUCUGAUGUUCUCUACUAUAGGUAUGUAGAAAUGUACCUAUUGUCCUGUACUUUGUUUUGUGGUUGCUGGCUAGUGUGAAUUUCGAUUUUGCAAAUAAUUACAUUGUUGUUUUCAUCUGCUCCGGUAUAUUUGUUUGCAUAGAUAGUGCAUCCAUUUGUUUCUCUUUUCAGAACUGUCUACGACUAUAUGUUGUUGCUGAAUAGACUUUAAUUAGCUGAGAAAAGGGAGGAAACUUGAUGUUACAGUUGUUAGUUUGGCGUGAACCAUGGAUGACAUAGCUCUUGUAUCUUUAUUGUAAAAAUAUAUCUUGGAAGCCAACUCCAAACGGAAUGAAUGUUGCAUAGGGUCCUGUAUCUUAGCUAACUAUAUUACUGGAGACAAAGCAUGUCAACCGUGUGUAUAUAUAUAUAUAUAUAUAUUACUUAAUCCCUUUAGUUAACCCAAUAACCUUUGAAUAUUGUAUUCACAAGAUUUGGU